rnacentral:tRNA from 1 species
CAGUUAAGUAGUUUAAAGGAAUAUAAGCUUUGGGUGUUUAUGGAUCUCUAUUUGAUAGAGACUUACUGA